AAAAGCUCGUAGUUGGAUCUCAGCUCCGGCCGGACGGUCCGCCUACCGGUGGUUACUGUUCGUCGCCGAGCGUUCAGGCGGUUAUUCUUGAUGAUCUUCACCGGUUGUCUCGGGUGACCGCCAAGUUUACUUUGAAAAAAUUAGAGUGCUCAAAGCAGGCGCGACGCCUGAAUAAUUGUGCAUGGAAUAAUGGAAUAGGACCUCGGUUCUAUUUUGUUGGUUUUCGGAACACGAGGUAAUGAUUAAGAGGGACAGACGGGGGCAUUCGUAUUGCGACGCUAGAGGUGAAAUUCUUGGACCGUCGCAAGACGAACUACUGCGAAAGCAUUUGCCAAGAAUGUUUCCAUUAAUCAAGAACGAAAGUUAGAGGUUCGAAGGCGAUCAGAUACCGCCCUAGUUCUAACCAUAAACGAUGCCAGCCAGCAAUCCGCCUGUGUUCCUCAAAUGACACGGCGGGCGGCUUCCGGGAAACCAAAGCUUUUGGGUUCCGGGGGAAGUAUGGUUGCAAAGCUGAAACUUAAAGGAAUUGACGGAAGGGCACCACCAGAAAUGGAGCCUGCGGCUUAAUUUGACUCAACACGGGAAAACUUACCCGGCCCGGACACAGGAAGGAUUGACAGAUUAAGAGCUCUUUCUUGAUUCUGUGGGUGGUGGUGCAUGGCCGUUCUUAGUUGGUGGGGCGACUUGUCUGGUUAAUUCCGAUAACGAACGAGACUCUAGCCUACUAAAUAGACGUUCCGAUCCUCUUUUGUCGGACGUUCUUCUUAGAGGGACAAGCGGCGUUUAGCCGCACGAGACAGAGCAAUAACAGGUCUGAGAUGCCCUUAGAUGUCCGGGGCCGCACGCGCGCUACAUUGAAGGAAUCAGCGUGUGCUUUCCCUGUCCGACAGGACUGGGUAACCCGUUGAACCUCCUUCGUGCUGGGGAUUGGAGAUUGUAAUUGUCCUCCAUGAACGAGGAAUUCCCAGUAAGCACGAGUCAUCAGCUCGUGUUGAUUACGUCCCUGCCCUUUGUCCACACCGCCCGUCGCUACUACCGAUUGAAUGAUUUAGUGAGGUCUUCGGACUGGCGCUCGGAUUGGCCUUCGCGGUCGAGCCGGUGUGCCGGAAAGAUGACCAAACUUGAUCAUUUAGAGGAAGUAAAAGUCGUAACAAGGUUUU
rnacentral:rRNA from 1 species